rnacentral:lncRNA from 1 species
UACUAUUGUAUUGGCCCAGAUUGCUUUGGUUUUGGGCACAUCAUCUGACCACACCCCACUGUCGCCUCCACCACCAGCAACAAAAGCAUCGCAUGCUCGAGGUUUGCGCCAAGCACAACCUGAAGAUCCUGGGCACCUGGUUCCAGCACCGGCAGAUCCAUCGACCACCUGGUACAGUAACACCGGCACUGCGACAAUCGAUCACAUCCUGGUCAGCAGAACAUGGAGGGUCACCUCCGAUUAUCGGGAUUUUUCGCAGCGCUGGCUGGGCAACGUUGUCUCCUUGCUGCCCCCCCCCCUCAUCUUCACCUCUGCACGAACACUCCUCCAGGCACCACCUCUUGACGUCCUCCCAAUGUUGACAAGCUCCUCAACCCACUCUACGCCCACCGCUACUCAGCCGAUGUCUCUAAUCGCUUUGCUGCCCCAGAGUCUCGAGGAUGACUGGGACCAGAUUCACGCAACCCUUAUCCAGUGGCAUCAGAAGUGCUUGGAGUACACCCUCCUUUAAUAGGAAGAAGCCUUGGAUAUCAGAUGCUCCCACGGUCCUUGUAGACCGCUGCCGGCAAACCAGACAUCAUAGAUCUAUGGAAGUCUACUGCAAGCUGAGCAGGUAAAGAAGACGAAGACGAAGUUAACACAGCUGAAGAUAGCUUUCAGUCGGGGAAUCUUCGACCAGCUUAUAAGUCCACCAAGGAGGUCUACCAGGCUGGCACUCUACACCAAUUGUCCCCCUGCUCCCUGGCGAUGGCACCCAGCUUUAAUACAAAGCCUCAGCCAAGCUACAAUGCUGCUGUCAACUCUACUCCAUUGUCCUCUGCAAGCCUUCACCUCCAUCUUACAGGCUGCAGAUGUUUGCCAAUUCAGGUAUUGUGGAUGACUCCAUUUUGCUUGUACCACCCUCACUAAAUGAUAUCGCAGACGCCAUUAGGAAGCUCCCAACCGGUAGAGCCCCAGGCGCCAACAGCAUUUCUGGCAAAAUGCUAAUGAAGGCGGCAAUUGAUCUGAUCGAUCCUCGGCUACAACAGCUGUGCUGCCAUUUCUGGAAAGAAGAGUGAGUCAUGGCCGAGUGGAAGGAAAGUCAUACACUCAUUCUACAAGAACAAGGAAGACCAGCAAAAUACUUCGAGCUAUCGUCUCAUCACAUUGCUCUCUGUGCUCUCUAAGGUUAUCGUGACCAUCAUUCUCAGACGAAUCCAACCUCUACUGCUAGCCAAAGUUUGCCAAACGUCGCCCUCAACAAGCCAGCUUCACGCCACAAAUUGCUCCACCACAGACUGCAUCCUAGGGCUGGGAGUCCUGGCACAAUAAUGGAGGUCAUAUUGCCAGCCGCUGUACACACAGUCUACAUAGAUCUUAAGGCAGCCUUUGAUUCCCUGGAUAGAAACGUCCUCUGGCUCUUUCUCCAGGGUAUCAGAGUCCCUUUUAAGUACAUCCGUUUCCUGCGGGACCUCUAAACCAACACUUUCUGCAGGGUGCAAGCUGAGGGUGGCAUAUCGGAUCCCUUACCAACUACAUGUGCAUCAGGAGUCAGACAGGGCUGUGUUGCCGCACCAAUCCUCUUCAAUGUUGCGGUCGACUACUGCCUGGACAGCUUGAUGGAACGCUGCCCCCAAAACUUGGCGUUGACUACCACUACCAACUCACCGACAUAUGCUAUGCGGAUGAUGUUGUGCUGUUUGCCAUGCUGCUGGACAUCUUGGUUGAGGCUCUGGAGAUUCUCGAUGAGGAAGCCUCGCCCCUGGGUCUCACCAUUAGCUGAAUCAAGACAAAAGUUCAGUAGAUCAAUAUCAACACCAAGCAGGUUGAAGUGGUUGCAGUGGAAUCUGAUUGCUCAUCAGAUUGCCGCCUUCAACUGGCCAGAAGAACCUUCGGUCAUUUCACCCGUGUAUGACGAAGCAGCAAAAUCUGCACAACCACCAAAAUUUGCAUCCUGAACACCUACGUCCUCCCUGUUCUCCUCUACGGCUGCGAAUCAUGGUCCCCUCCACCACAACCAAUCGCUGCCUUGAUGCCUACCACCAGUCUUGCCUACGCUACAUCCUUGGAACCUACUGGUGCCACCACAUCACCAACGACGAGGUCUAUGCUAGAGCGGGUGCCCCCACACCCCUGUCCACCACCACUCUGAGAAGCAGACUGUGACUACUGGGACAUGUUGCGCGAUCCGGCGACAGAGUCUCGGCAAAGCGUGUUCCGAGUGCAGCAUCCCAGCCAGCCCCAGAGAGCUGGCGUCGCACCCCCCCCCCCCCCCCCCUGACGCCCCCACAUCACCUGGGCAUCUCAAGUCGCAGCGAGGUGCCCACUGGACGACCUCCUCACCCUAGCCCAAGAUCAACUAGCCUACAGACAUCUUGAAGUGGCCACGUGACUUCAAGUACAUCUCUUGAGUCAGCUUUCAUAACUCGGCCAUAACAUUGAGAAACAAGUAGCACGCCAAGGUCUUCAGUUUUCACCUCUGAGAAGAUGAUGGUAUCCGUUGCUUCCGACAUUCACCAAAAGAUAACUAUGGCAGCAUCAUAGGGCGAGCAGUCUGGGCCAUAGCGUUUGAGAAACAUCUGACACACUGAGAUCUUCAUCUUUGACCUUUCACCUCUGAGAAGACAACAGCACCUUUCGCUUCCAACGUUCACCAGAUAUAACCAUCCCAGGGAGUCGCAUUUGAUUUGCAUCAGAAUCACCGGUUUCCUGCACGAUGAGCAACAGUUAUUGGGAGGACACGGGUGUGUUCUUUACCUAUUGGAUACAAACCGUAAGUUAAAACAUGAAUUAUAAGUAUAGUAAAUAAAGGAUUAAAGCAGAGUGAUGUUGAGGACCUAAAGAAAUACCAGUAAAGCUCAAGUAAUUGUACAUAGGUUUUGAUAUUUUUAAGGCGAGCAUCAGACUAACUUUAUUCACCACACUUUUCUCUUCACACAGCUCUUUUCUUUGUUAUUUCUCAUUUAGGUUGAACUUCUAAUUUGAAUUUUUACUUCACAUUUCUCCGAUGCUCAAGUAAUUUGUGUACAUUAAACUCUGUCACUAUAUGCUUCAAUUCACCUCAUUUCUCCAUUAAUUGACUUCUUCACUUCAAUAUUCACUUCAGGUGUCACCUUUGUGUAACCAUGCACUUGCCUCACAUUUAAGCUCACAACUGAACAGCCAGCUGAACAUCACUCACCUUGUACGGAGUUGCACCAUUUU